GAUUUCUCAAGAUCAUUAUACAAGAUGUUGGCAAGAAUUCUAACGAUUGCACUCGUCAACAAAUAAAAGUCUGUCUUCUUCAUAAAUUAGAAUGUUAGAAAUUAGACUCAAAUGAAACCAAUUACAAAAUUCACAAACCAAAUCGAUAUAAUUAAAACUUAAGAUGACUAAAAUUUGAGAGCUCUUAAAGUUCGAGUCGAUGUUUGCAAUGUCCUCGGUAGGAAAGGCCCCCUUUUUCAAGCCGAAACUAAUUUCUGUUCCCAGUUUUGUCGUUUUGGUCAGAACACAACAAGCCCUCCUUUGAUGGUUACACCAAAACCUAAAUCCUUUUUAUCCCCUUUAUCGAGGUUUUCUGGUUCUGUCACUUUUACGGAGAGAAGAAAGAAGAGAUGGAGAAAUCUGACUGUGUCUUCGUCACAAACGAGGGUACGAGAAAGGCAAAGAAGAGACUGAUGGUGGGGAGAUAUGAUAUGAGUGUAUUUUUCUUUUCUUUUCAUCACAAACGAGAUGGAAAGGGUUUUUGGGGGCAAGAAUUACUAUGAUGAAUCUUUGAUUCUUUUCUUGUUAAUUUUCCCCAAGAAUGAACCAUCCAAUCUGAUUAUUACCUUCUUCAGAAACCACCCCUAUUCAUUAUUUACGUCUCUUCAACUUUCUCUCUCUUAUUUACUGUGGUGGCCUCAUCUUUCAUUUUAAAUAGUGCUCAACUGCCCUCCUUCUUAUCCCUCAUACUUGGUGCUAAUAAUCCAUCCCUUUCCUCUGCACAUGCCCCUCUUUUGUGUGGGCGUGAGUAAUUUCAAUGGUAAUUUGGUGUGUUCUUGAUUAGGUCAUGGCGGUUUAUCAAAGGGUUUCCUACAGAAUUUAUUGGCAUUCUGUCCACCUCCAUUCCUAUUAAGAAAGGAUUAAGAAAUUUUAAUCUGAUAUCAUAUAUGGAGGUGGGCAUACUGCCAACUGAGUUCUGUUGAAUUCUUUUUGUAAAACCCUUGUGACACACACUCUCUUGUUUUCAACUGUAUACAGACCAAGGUAACGACCCCCUUGCCAUAAAUUUGUGCAAAUUUUUUAAACCUUUUUGCCAUGCAUGUUAAUCUAUUUCAGAUGCUCCAUUUUUGUAUGUGUUAACUUUCUUGGCGUUAAAGUGUUCCUCGAAUUAAACAUAUGGUGCCUGUUUGUAUAUGUUUUUGGUUUCGUUUGGAUCUGUGUUUUGCAGCAAAUCUUGGGGCAAAAAGCUUCAGAAUCAGAUGAAUAGAAAGUAAAGAAUGGAAUAAAAUUUCUGCCAGGUACUGGAACCCUACUUUUGCGGAUUUUGUGUGUGAAUCAAUUAUUCUUUUCCUAGGAAAAUUUUAUCUGACUAGCUAGUUUAAUUUUAAGAUUUUGUCUCUUACAAGUUCUUGAUCACCUGCUUCGCAGCUCAACGGUCAAGAUCAUGAAAAGGAGAAAUGGAGCUUUCUCCUUUGAUUUUCAACCAAGAAUAAAAGUUAGCUGGAAAGUUUACCCUAGUAACAAUCGUUUUAUUGCCUUUUCAGUUUGAAUGUUCAAAUCCAGAUAUCUUUCUUCUUGUUCAAAAAACACACACAAAACACACAGUUUGUAGGGCAAGAAUUAUUAGGGCAGUGGCCAUCUGAGAAACCCUUCAUAUAUUGUAGGCUCAUGAUUGAAGUCUGACAUUGCCAUUAAAUUAUGGUGUAGCCCAUCAGGCAUCCGCUCCCAUUAAUUUUUUUCCCCCAAAGAAAUUUACUGACAGUAAAUCAUCAAAAAUCUAACAACCUAUUCGCAUUAAGUACCAUCCUUUAUUAGGUGUUGACGCCAUUUUACGGUAAAAUGAAUAGAUACGUGAAUUUUUAUUUUUAUUUUUGGUAACAUUGUUGAAUGGAUAAAGUGAAUAAAGCUUUAAUCUUUUAUUUUUUUUAAUUCUGUGGUAAACACAGACAAUUAUUAAUAUCUUUUCUUUUUUGUUCUAGUAAAAUAAAAAUUGUCAUUAUUGUUCAAAGUUGUAAAUGAAUCUGGAAUAAUAGUUUUUUACCAUUUGUGUAGAAUUUGUGAAUCAUUACUUCCUAGAAGUUAACAGGCCACCGAGUCAAAUCAUGAAAUGUGCAAAAAUUCUUUCAACCACUGAAAAAAGUGGUUAUAAUUAAUUUAUUACUGUGGUCAGCAUUGGUACAAAUGAUGUUUACCCCCACUUAUCAAACCUGAUUAUGCUUAAGCAAAUCAAGAUGUACCCUUAAAAAUAAACUUGGCCCUACCUCCUUUUUGUCAACAAAGAGUGUGGAUUCAAUCUUGAAAAUUUUAUCAUCUUCUAUGCUUAAGAAUUAAUAUAAUAUAAUAUAAUGUUUGUCACUUUUUGAAGUUUUAGAUAGAUGAAAGUGGUUCGACUUUUCACAUAUUUAACACGCUGAAUUAUGUUGUUUGGAUACAUUGGAUUAUUUUAUUAAUGAUAAGCAAUGGAGAUUUUUUUCUUGAGCCUAAAAGUGAAACUUCUAUUAACUUAAAUCAUACAAAAAUGGAGAAUACAAUUCUCAUAUAAAAACUUCUUGUAUGUUCAAGGUCGAAUUUUCAAAUUGUCAGUGAGCAAUCAGAAUGGUAGACCCAUCACGACUAAAAAAGAAAAUCAUAUUAAAUUUGAUGCAUUGUAUCAAAUAAAAUGUAUAAAAUAAACUUCAUUUUUAGUUAUAAAUUGAAGAUGUCCUUUGUUGGUUCAAUUGAAAAAGUUGAUUAAAAUUUGAGUUAAUGUUAACAAUUAAAUUUUAAUUAUAGAUUUUACGGGAUUCACAAUUUUCCGAUCGUAUAUCUUAUUAACUUUUAAUAAAAUUUAUUGAAAUUUUGAUUUUUACCUGAAAUAAAGAGGGGCUAAGUAAGUAAACUCUUUGUUACUAAUAUCAAUCUUGGCAUUGCAUUUUGUGGACUUGUUGGUGUACUCAGUUACCAUUCUGGUGCUAGAAUAUCCCAAAAUCCUUUUUCCAGCCUUCUACAGUUCUACGCGUGAAGGAUGACAUGUUCAAACUAUUCCUUCAUUAAAAUGUGCCAAGCCCCAAAACUUUUUCUCCUGCUGAUGUCUUAUUUUUAAGCACGAGUUGAUGUAGAAUGCCUGUAAAAAUGCGUAUAUCAGUGUUUUUUAAUUUUUAAUCUAUAGAUAUGACAAAGUCUCAUUCUUUACAGAUGGUUUGGGCAACUUGCAUUUAGCCAAUACAUUUGUGGAGAUUUUUGGCCAUCCAUUCUUGACUCUAUUUGAAGGUGCGCUUUUUCUUCCCUGUUAAUCAAUCUUAUUUCAUUCCCAUUUUUUCAUGUGAAAAUGUUAAUCAAUCACAUUCAAGUUAUGUGUAAAGAAAUUAGGCCUCUUAGCCAUGUAUAUAAAGUAUAAUUAUUUAUGUUUCAGUCAUCCUUGUGCCUCUUUAAAUGUAAUAUUAUUAGGGUACUGCUAUUUCUAUCCACGCUUUUUAUAAGUACAUCCCACUCUAAGUUAAU
rnacentral:lncRNA from 1 species